rnacentral:rRNA from 1 species
UACGGAGGGUGCGAGCGUUGUCCGGAAUCACUGGGCGUAAAGGGCGCGUAGGUGGCCCGUUAAGUGGCUGGUGAAAUCCCGCGGCUCAACUGCGGGGCUGCCGGUCAUACUGGCGAGCUAGAGCACGGUAGGGGCAGAUGGAAUUCCCGGUGUAGCGGUGGAAUGCGUAGAGAUCGGGAAGAAUACCAGUGGCGAAGGCGUUCUGCUGGGCCGUUGCUGGCACUGAGGCGCGACAGCGUGGGGAGCAAACAGG